rnacentral:rRNA from 1 species
UACGGAGGAUGCGAGCGUUAUCCGGAUUUAUUGGGUUUAAAGGGUGCGUAGGCGGAUUUUUAAGUCAGCGGUAAAAUGUCCGGGCUCAACCCGGGCCGGCCGUUGAAACUGGGGAUCUUGAGUGGGCGAGAAGUAUGCGGAAUGCGUGGUGUAGCGGUGAAAUGCAUAGAUAUCACGCAGAACUCCGAUUGCGAAGGCAGCAUACCGGCGCCCGACUGACGCUGAGGCACGAAAGCGUGGGGAUCGAACGGG